rnacentral:rRNA from 1 species
UACGUAGGGCGCAAGCGUUAUCCGGAAUUAUUGGGCGUAAAAGAGCUCGUAGGCGGUUUGUCGCGUCUGCCGUGAAAGUCCGGGGCUCAACUCCGGAUCUGCGGUGGGUACGGGCAGACUAGAGUGAUGUAGGGGAGACUGGAAUUCCUGGUGUAGCGGUGAAAUGCGCAGAUAUCAGGAGGAACACCAACGGCGAAGGCAGCACUCUGGGCCGGAACUGACGCUGAGGAGCGAAAGCGUGGGUAGCGAACAGG